rnacentral:rRNA from 1 species
CCUACGGGGGACAGCAGUGAGGAAUAUUGGUCAAUGGGCGCGAGCCUGAACCAGCCAAGUAGCGUGAAGGAUGAAGGUCUUCGGAUCGUAAACCUCUGUCAGCAGGGAAGAACGGUCACUGUGCUAAUCAGCAGUGAAUUGACGGUACCUGCAAAGGAAGCACCGGCUAACUCCGUGCCAGCAGCCGCGGUAAUACGGAGGGUGCGAGCGUUAAUCGGAAUUACUGGGCGUAAAGCGCUCGUAGGCGGUAUGUCAAGUCAAGGGUGAAAUCCCCGCGCUCAACGUGGGAACUGCCUUUGAAAUGGGAAAACUGGAGUGGGUGAGAGGAUAGGGGAAUUCAAGGUGGAGGAGUGAAAUCC